CCUACGGGGGGCUGCAGUGGGGAAUAUUGGACAAUGGGGGCAACCCUGAUCCAGCCAUGCCGCGUGUGUGAAGAAGGCCCUCGGGUUGUAAAGCACUUUCAGUGAGGAAGAACGCCUGGUGGUUAAUACCCGUCAGGAAAGACAUCACUCACAGAAGAAGCACCGGCUAACUCCGUGCCAGCAGCCGCGGUAAUACGGAGGGUGCGAGCGUUAAUCGGAAUUACUGGGCGUAAAGCGCGCGUAGGUGGCUUGAUAAGCCGGUUGUGAAAGCCCCGGGCUCAACCUGGGAACGGCAUCCGGAACUGUCAAGCUAGAGUGCAGGAGAGGAAGGUAGAAUUCCCGGUGUAGCGGUGAAAUGCGUAGAGAUCGGGAGGAAUACCAGUGGCGAAGGCGGCCUUCUGGACUGACACUGACACUGAGGUGCGAAAGCGUGGGUAGCAAACAGGAUUAGAUACCCGAGUAGUC
rnacentral:rRNA from 1 species